rnacentral:snRNA from 1 species
GGAUGUGAGGGCGAUCUGGCUGCGACAUCUGUCACCCCACUGAUCGCCAGGAUUGAUUCGGCUGAUCUGGCUGGCUAGGCGGGUGUCCCCUUCCUCCCUCACCGCUCCAUGUGCGUCCCUCCUGAAGCUGCGCGCUCGGUCGAAGAGGACGACCAUCCCCGAUAGAGGAGAGGACCGUUCUUCGGUCAAGGGUAUACGAGUAGCUGCGCUCCCCUGCUAGAACCUCCAAACAAGCUCUCAAGAGGUAUUGGAAGGUAAUGGACGGUUUUCUCAAUUUGGUCUUUAUCUAGUUCUCAAGUGGCAGGUGGU